GUGCUUGCUUCGGCAGCAUAUACAUUAAAAUUGGAACGAUACAGAGAAGAUUAGCAUGGCCUCUGCGCAAGGAUGACACGCAGAUAUGUGAAGUGUUCCAUAUUUUU